CACGGCUUGAGAUUGGUUUGGAACAUUCCAUACUGAAUCAAAAAUCCGUGGGCCUGCCGCCUGCACCAAUAUGUCUGUAGGCUAGAUUUUGAAAUACCAGGAAUUUCUCCAUGAUUACUCAAUUAUAUCUAUACGUUCUAGGUCUUAACGGAUUACAAAUCAGCAAGACGUCUAGAUACAGUUUGCACUUAGGCGUUAUUUUUUUCAGUGUUAGACUUGCAGAAUCUGAUAGUUUUUUUAACAUAAAACUAUCUGUUAAAUUCAUCUGGAUUUUGUUUUAUGUAAUCUUAUAUUGUGCCCUCAUAACGGUAUAUGAUUUUCAGUAGUGGGCAUAUGGUAAACGGCCUGGCAAGCAAUAUACAAAGUUAACACCAAAUAGGCUGGUCAGAAAAGGAAAUAAUAUCGGAAUAUGAAGUUUCUUCUUACCUAAAAUAUGGAAUUGCGGACGUUUAUAUAUUGCUUAAAGGACGUAUGAAGUGGGAUGGAUAUAAAGUCUGUUGUUUCCCUGUCCACAACAUCACAGUCGACAUUGCUACAAUCAACCAUUUGCAAUUGCGGAACAAUGUAAUAAUUUAAUUAUACCUUUUGCUGGAUUACCUAUUUAAGUGCGUUCUAAUUGGAGGGAAAUAGCAAAGCUGAAGGAACAUAUAAGAAGGCUUGAAGAUAUGAAUAACAAUUUAGCCUAUGGGAAUUAAAUACAAGAAGAGAGAAUCCAAUGCACUGGACCUGUUGAAGCACGCUCGUCUAUGCAACAUGGCAUGUGCGAGGAUAAUAAUUUAGUGCUUUCAAGCGAAAAGGUUAUGGUUAUUUUUAUAUGUCAUAAAUAUAUACUAUUAAAUAGUUUCUUUCUUAAGAUUGCUAUGCCACCGAACCAGGAUUGCAAGCAUGAUAAUGUCGAUCAGUUACUGAUUCAAUAAAAUUCAUCAUCGCCAGAUGAUUUUGUGCCAGAGGUGAGGGAAAUGAGAGAUCAGAGCGAUGAAUCGGUUGCAAGACUAUACCAGGAGGGCACUAGAAAUAAGUGCGGACACUCAAUUUCCUCAAAAAUACGAUGUACUUCUUCACUUAUGAUGCGAAUGAAGGAUUGAGUUGCGACUGAAUUCUCUAGUUCAAUCAAGAAGCAAAUAAUUUUUGAAUAUUUUGCUUAGAAGUAGUUAUAGUUUACACUGAUAGAUUGAAAAUGUAAUAUUAUUUCAGAGGAUAUUUUUUCUUUGAUCGAAUUGAUGCAAAUGCUAUGGUGUAAUAUUCUUCAGAAUUGAGUUUUCUACUCAAUUUGAUAUGAAUGUUAAGGUGUUGUACCAAUAA